AAAAAAAAGUGAAAUCUGGAGCUUCAUGGACCUGUCAGCAAUUAAGGAACAAAAGUAAUGAAGAUUUACAUAAACUUUGGUAUGUUCUCCUGAAAGAAACAUGCUCCUAACUCUAGAGCAGGAGGCUAAGCGGCAGAGAUUGCCAAUGCCAAGUCUGAAGCGGUUAGAAAAGGUAGUAGAUUCCAUGGAUACAUUAGAUAAAGUUGUCCAGGAAAGGGAAGAUGCCCUCAGAAUUCUUCAGACUGGUCAAGAAAAAGCUAGACCUGGUUCUUGGAGAAGAGACAUCUUUGGAAGAAUCAUCUGGCACAAGUUCAAGCAGUGGCCUAUACCUUGGUACCUAAAUAAAAGAAACAAUAGAAAACGAUUCUUUGCAGUGCCCUGCGUGAAACGUUUUGUCAGACUGAGAAUUGAGAAACAAGCCUGCAUCAAAGCAAGGAAGACAAGUUUAGCAAGCAAGAAAGAAAAGUUUCUUCAGGAAAACUUUCCACAUCUUUCUGAAGCCCAGAAAUCAAGUCUUAUCUAAGAUAUCUGAACUCUUAAUUUACCAUUUUGUUUUUCUUGGAUUACAAUCUAUAUACAAAAGUGAAUACAUACUAAGUGGUUUAUAAAUAACUUGUGUUUUUAGUCAAAU